rnacentral:rRNA from 1 species
GACGAACGCUGGCGGCGUGCUUAACACAUGCAAGUCGAGCGGAAAGGCUCCUUCGGGGGUACUCGAGCGGCGAACGGGUGAGUAACACGUGAGUAAUCUGCCCUGCGCUCUGGGAUAGCCACCGGAAACGGUGAUUAAUACCGGAUAUGACCGCUACACGCAUGUGUUGGUGGUGGAAAGUUUUUCGGCGCAGGAUGUGCUCGCGGCCUAUCAGCUUGUUGGUGAGGUAAUGGCUCACCAAGGCUUUGACGGGUAGCCGGCCUGAGGGGGUGACCGGUCACACUGGGACUGAGACACGGCCCAGACUCCUACGGGGGGCAGCAGUGGGGAAUAUUGGACAAUGGGCGGAAGCCUGAUCCAGCGACGCCGCGUGAGGGAUGACGGCCUUCGGGUUGUAAACCUCUUUCAGUACCGACGAAGCGAAAGUGACGGUAGGUACAGAAGAAGGACCGGCCAACUACGUGCCAGCCGCCGCAGUAAAAC